ensembl:lncRNA
AAUAAUAAUAAUAAUAAUAGCAAUAAAUGUUAUAACAAUACGUGUCAUGAUUUAACUGUUAAUAUAAGCACUGGGGAUAGACAAUUUUGCGACUGUAAUAAAUGCUGCAAAAAUAAAGAAAACACUUCAUGUGGAACUAUAAAUAAAUCCAACAAAAUUAAUGACAUAUUUACAAAUUCUGACAUACUAUGUAAUGUUUUAUCAUUUUUAUCAUUUUAUGAAAGAUGGCAAUGUAAAACAUUAAAUAAAUAUUUUUACAAAGCGUUUAAUACGAAGUUUUCAUGGGCAACUUUAGAUUUUCGUUUUAUUAAUAUAAAUCUGUUUAAUAGUACUUUUUUAGAUAAAUAUAAUAACUUUUUUAUAAAAACAAUUUCUUUGUCUUUAUCGAUAAAUGAAAAUGAAACUGUAGAACAUGUAAUAAAUUUUAUUAUUAAAUAUUUUAAAAAUUUAAAAGAUUUACGUUUAUAUUUCAGAAAAGAACAUAGUACUUUUAUUUAUGAAGGUGUUCAUCCAACUGUAUCAACUAUUUUGAAUUGCAAGUUAUUUAACUCGAGCCAAUAUGGUUCAUAUGUUUCAAAAAAAAAAAAAAAAAAAAAAAAAAAAAAAACUAGUUAAUGAUACUGAUUGUACAGAAAAAGGACAUAGUGACACUUGUAGUAAUAAUAGUAGAAAUAGUAGCGAUAGUGAUAAUUGUAAUAGUGAUAAAUAUAGUAGUGAUAAUUAUAGUAGUGAGUGCAGUUGUAGUAUUAUAUACACUGAUUCAGAAGCUCCUAACAGUAACAGUAGCAGUAAUAGUAACAGUAAUAGUAGCAGUAAUAGUAACAGUAAUAGUAAUAGUAAUAGUAAUAGUAAUAGUAAUAGUAACAGUAAUAGUAAUAGUAACAGUAAUAGUAACAGUAAUAGUAACAGUAAUAGUAANNNNNNNNNNAGUAAUAGUAACAGUAAUAGUAACAGUAAUAGUAACAGUAAUAGUAAUAAUAAAACAAAAAAACAUGUUAAGAAUAAAAAAAGUUGUACUUGUAGUAAUAAUAGUGAUAACUCAAUUUUUAAAACUAAUACAUAUGAAUGUGCGCAAAACAAUAAACACAUUUAUAAAAAACGUGAAAAAUGUGAAAAAUGUGAAAAACGUGAAAAAUGUGAAAAACAUAAAAACAAAAACAACCGAAACAAAGAUGGAGACAGUGCCAAAAUAAAAUACUAUACGAACAAAUAUAUAAAUGCAAGAUUAUAUACAACAAAAAAUUUUAAUUCAUUUAACUCAUUAAUGAAUCUUGAAAGACUUAUUUUGGAUGUUGAAAUAAAAGGACAUGAGCUUGUUUGUUUUGUUGGAAAAUUAAAUAAUUUAAAAGAUAUAAUAAUAAGUAAAUUAGUUUAUUCAGACAUUUUAAACAGAUCACAAACUAUAACUAUUUUUACUUGUUUUAUAGAACAAAUAAAACAUAAUACUAUUCGAUUGAUACAAUUAGGGUUAUAUCAUAAAAAUGAACAAAAACCUAUUGAUUACUUUAAUAAUGAGCAUUUUAGGAAUAUUGUAAACAGCCGAAAAAGUUAUGUUCUAAAUAAUAAUAAAGAAGAGGGAGAUGAAUUAAUUUCUGUCUUGCAUAAAAAUCAGUUAAAAUCUUUGUACUGUUUAUGGAGUAGUGACCUUUUUAUAUCUUAUGAAAUGUUUAGACAGAUACAAAAGUUUAGGUACUGCACUGCAUUGCAUUGUAUUGCGCGGCGCUUUUUUUUUUUU